rnacentral:rRNA from 1 species
CACGUGUAGCAGUGAAAUGCGUAGAGAUGUGGAGGAAUACCGAUGGCGAAGGCAGCCUCCUGGGAUAACACUGACGUUCAUGCCCGAAAGCGUGGGUAGCAAACAGGAUUAGAUACCCUGGUAGUNCACGCCCUAAACGAUGUCGAUUAGCUGUUGGGCAGCAUGACUGCUUAGUAGCGAAGCUAACGCGUGAAAUCGACCGCCUGGGGAGUACGGUCGCAAGAUUAAAACUCAAAGGAAUUGACGGGGACCCGCACAAGCGGUGGAUGAUGUGGAUUAAUUCGAUGCAACGCGAAGAACCUUACCUGGUCUUGACAUGUACAGAACCCUCCAGAGACGGAGGGGUGCCUUCGGGAGCCGUAACACAGGUGCUGCAUGGCUGUCGUCAGCUCGUGUCGUGAGAUGUUGGGUUAAGUCCCGCAACGAGCGCAACCCUUGUCAUUAGUUGCCAUCAUUAAGUUGGGCACUCUAAUGAGACUGCCGGUGACAAGCCGGAGGAAGGUGGGGAUGACGUCAAGUCCUCAUGGCCCUUAUGACCAGGGCUUCACACGUCAUACAAUGGUCGGUACAGAGGGUAGCCAAGCCGCGAGGUGGAGCCAAUCUCACAAAACCGAUCGUGGUCCGGAUUGCACUCUGCAACUCGAGUGCAUGAAGUCGGAAUCGCUAGUAAUCGCAGGUCAGCAUACUGCGGUGAAUACGUUCCCGGGUCUUGUAC